AGAGUUUGAUCCUGGCUCAGGACGAACGCUGGCGGCGUGCCUAACACAUGCAAGUCGAGCGAUGAAACCCUUCGGGGUGAAUUAGCGGCGGACGGGUGAGUAACACGUGGGUAACCUGCCUCAAAGAGGGGAAUAGCCUCCCGAAAGGGAGAUUAAUACCGCAUAAUAUGUUCUAAUCGCAUGAUUGAAACAUCAAAGGAUUUUUCUUUUAGAAACUUCCACUUUGAGAUGGACCCGCGGCGCAUUAGCUAGUUGGUGAGGUAACGGCUCACCAAGGCAACGAUGCGUAGCCGACCUGAGAGGGUGAUCGGCCACAUUGGAACUGAGACACGGUCCAGACUCCUACGGGAGGCAGCAGUGGGGAAUAUUGCGCAAUGGGGGAAACCCUGACGCAGCAACGCCGCGUGAAUGAUGAAGGCCUUCGGGUUGUAAAGUUCUGUCUUCUGGGACGAUAAUGACGGUACCAGAGGAGGAAGCCACGGCUAACUACGUGCCAGCAGCCGCGGUAAUACGUAGGUGGCAAGCGUUGUCCGGAUUUACUGGGCGUAAAGGAUGCGUAGGCGGACAUUUAAGUCAGAUGUGAAAUACCCGAGCUUAACUUGGGUGCUGCAUUUGAAACUGGGUGUCUAGAGUGCAGGAGAGGUAAGUGGAAUUCCUAGUGUAGCGGUGAAAUGCGUAGAGAUUAGGAAGAACACCAGUGGCGAAGGCGACUUACUGGACUGUAACUGACGCUGAGGCAUGAAAGCGUGGGGAGCAAACAGGAUUAGAUACCCUGGUAG
rnacentral:rRNA from 1 species